ensembl:ncRNA lncRNA:CR44458 long non-coding RNA:CR44458
UUAAACAAUAUUAUCUCAUUUUGAAUUAUCGUAUUCCCGUGGAUAACAUUAAAACGCACAAGCAGCUAAUAAUGCCAAAAGCAAAUUCUAAGUGGGAUGGAAUGUAAGCGUAAGAUAAUUUUCACUGACUAGAUAAUUCACCAGGAAUUUCACAAUAAGGUGAAUUUUAGAACUGAAAAUUAUGUUGAACUCUUUUAUAUUUGAGCUACGAUUUGAGAUACACUAAGUAAGAUAAGAGAUGGAUUUAAUGGUGGACAAUGGGAUUAGCUAUAGUUCCGCACCAUUGUAGAAUGCAAAAGCGCUAAAGGGCGCUGUCGCCAAUUUAUGUGAGUAAUAUAUUGCGCAAACAUUUUAUUAAAUCAAAUUAUAAAUAAAAGUUAAUGCACAAGUCAAAAGUAUUUCACUUUUUAAUAAGACAUCGAGAACAACUACAGUUGAACCUUUUGUAUCUCUUUUUCUCGCCAUUUAAUUGCUACACCAUGGUGGGCAGGACCAGGCGCUAUUGCCAUACAUUUUAUGUAGACUAUUUGAUGUGAAAGAAACAACACCAAAUAAUGCCCAAAGGACGACAAUCUGCGGAAGAUUUAAUUUUAGCUUAUGAUACUUUUUCACUUACUAGCUUACUCACCAGCAAUUUCACGAUGAUCUGCAUUUCGGAACUAAAAAUUAUUUUGAAUACUUGCUCUUUUAUAAAAGACCUAGAUUAUGGCUACUUCUUGACAAGAGAUAGAUUUAAUGGUGCUCAGGAAAUUCCUGAUCCCAAAGCACGCAAUUAAAUGAGUAUGUUAAGUAUUUCCAGCAAAAAUAUUUCUUUAUUCUUCAAAGUAGUAAAUAGGAGUGUAUAAACCACUGUAUAGCCACUUUUUUAGUGACGGCCAAAAUUGCUCUCUUUUUACAUUUA